GAUGAACGCUAGCUACAGGCUUAACACAUGCAAGUCGAGGGGCAUCAGGAAGAAAGCUUGCUUUCUUUGCUGGCGACCGGCGCACGGGUGAGUAACACGUAUCCAACCUGCCCUUUACUCGGGGAUAGCCUUUCGAAAGAAAGAUUAAUACCCGAUAGCAUAAUGAUUCCGCAUGGUUUCAUUAUUAAAGGAUUCCGGUAAAGGAUGGGGAUGCGUUCCAUUAGGUUGUUGGUGAGGUAACGGCUCACCAAGCCUUCGAUGGAUAGGGGUUCUGAGAGGAAGGUCCCCCACAUUGGAACUGAGACACGGUCCAAACUCCUACGGGAGGCAGCAGUGAGGAAUAUUGGUCAACGGGCGCUAGCCUGAACCAGCCAAGUAGCGUGAAGGAUGAAGGCUCUAUGGGUCGUAAACUUCUUUUAUAUAAGAAUAAAGUGCAGUAUGUAUACUGUUUUGUAUGUAUUAUAUGAAUAAGGAUCGGCUAACUCCGUGCCAGCAGCCGCGGUAAUACGGAGGAUCCGAGCGUUAUCCGGAUUUAUUGGGUUUAAAGGGAGCGUAGGUGGACUGGUAAGUCAGUUGUGAAAGUUUGCGGCUCAACCGUAAAAUUGCAGUUGAUACUGUCAGUCUUGAGUACAGUAGAGGUGGGCGGAAUUCGUGGUGUAGCGGUGAAAUGCUUAGAUAUCACGAAGAACUCCGAUUGCGAAGGCAGCUCACUGGACUGCAACUGACACUGAUGCUCGAAAGUGUGGGUAUCAAACAGG
rnacentral:rRNA from 1 species